AAUAAGAGAAUGACAAAUUAGAUUUUUCGUUCUAAUUUUUAGUAUUUUCCUCCUAAAAAAUUCAAUUCCAAUUAAAAAUGCUAAAAAUCAGAAUAAAAAAAUUGAUUUGUCAUUCUCCUAUU
rfam:Gossypium arboreum cultivar AKA8401 contig_66366_1, whole genome shotgun sequence.